GGGGAUGUAGCUCAGUGGUAGAGCGCAUGCUUCGCAUUGUAUUAUCGCAGAACGUCCUGCGCUUCAAUCUCCCCAGCAUUCCCA
rnacentral:tRNA from 1 species